AGCGAACGCUGGCGGCAGGCCUAACACAUGCAAGUCGAACGGAUCCUUCGGGAUUAGUGGCGGACGGGUGAGUAACACGUGGGAACGUGCCCUUUGGUUCGGAACAACUCAGGGAAACUUGAGCUAAUACCGGAUGUGCCCUUCGGGGGAAAGGAUUUAUCGCCAUUGGAGCGGCCCGCGUCUGAUUAGCUAGUUGGUGGGGUAAAGGCCCACCAAGGCGACGAUCAGUAGCUGGUCUGAGAGGAUGAUCAGCCACAUUGGGACUGAGACACGGCCCAAACUCCUACGGGAGGCAGCAGUGGGGAAUCUUGCGCAAUGGGCGAAAGCCUGACGCAGCCAUGCCGCGUGAAUGAUGAAGGUCUUAGGAUUGUAAAAUUCUUUCACCGGGACGAUAAUGACGGUACCCGGAGAAGAAGCCCCGGCUAACUUCGUGCCAGCCG
rnacentral:rRNA from 1 species